GACGAACGCUGGCGGCGUGCCUAAUACAUGCCAGUCGAACGCACAGUUUAUACCGUAGCUUGCUACACCAUAGACUGUGAGUUGCGAACGGGUGAGUAACGCGUAGGUAACCUGCCUGGUAGCGGGGGAUAACUAUUGGAAACGAUAGCUAAUACCGCAUAAUAUUAAUUAUUGCAUGAUAAUUAAUUGAAAGGUGCAAUUGCACCACUACCAGAUGGACCUGCGUUGUAUUAGCUAGUAGGUGAGGUAACGGCUCACCUAGGCGACGAUACAUAGCCGACCUGAGAGGGUGAUCGGCCACACUGGGACUGAGACACGGCCCAGACUCCCACGGGAGGCAGCAGUAGGGAAUCUUCGGCAAUGGACGAAAGUCUGACCGAGCAACGCCGCGUGAGUGAAGAAGGUUUUCGGAUCGUAAAGCUCUGUUGUAAGAGAAGAACGGGUGUGAGAGUGGAAAGUUCACACUGUGACGGUAUCUUACCAGAAAGGGACGGCUAACUACGUG
rnacentral:rRNA from 1 species